UGGGGGAUAUUGCACAAUGGGGGGAACCCUGAUGCAGCGACGCCGCGUGGGUGAAGGAGUAUUUCGGUAUGUAAAGCCCUAUCGGCAGGGCAGAAUUUAGACGGUACCUGACUAAGAAGCCCCGGCUAACUACGUGCCAGCAGCCGCGGUAAUACGUAGGGGGCAAGCGUUAUCCGGAUUCACUGGGUGUAAAGGGAGCGUAGACGGCCAGGCAAGCCUGGAGUGAAAGCCCGGGGCCCAACCCCGGGACUGCUCUGGGAACUGUCCGGCUGGAGUGCGGGAGGGGCAGGCGGAAUUCCUGGUGUAGCGGUGAAAUGCGUAGAUAUCAGGAGGAACACCGGCGGCGAAGGCGGCCUGCUGGACCGCGACUGACGUUGAGGCUCGAAAGCGUGGGGAGCGAACAGG
rnacentral:rRNA from 1 species